GACGAACCGUGCGAACGUUAUUCGGAAUCACUGGGCUUAAAGCGCGUGUAGGCGGGUCUGCACGUCGGGCGCUGAAAUCCCCCGGCUCAACCGGGGAACGGGCACCGAUACGACUGGCCUGGAGGGGAGUAGGGGGACCUGGAACUUCCGGUGGAGCGGUGAAAUGCGUUGAGAUCGGAAGGAACGCCCGUGGCGAAAGCGAGGUCCUGGGCUCUUACUGACGCUGAGACGCGAAAGCCAGGGGAGCGAACGGG
rnacentral:rRNA from 1 species